UACGUAGGUGGCAAGCGUCAUCCGGAUUUACUGGGUGUAAAGGGCGUGUAGGCGGGAAAGCAAGUCAGAUGUGAAAACCAUGGGCUCAACCUGUGGCCUGCAUUUGAAACUGUUUUUCUUGAGUACUGGAGAGGCAGACGGAAUUCCUAGUGUAGCGGUGAAAUGCGUAGAUAUUAGGAGGAACACCAGUGGCGAAGGCGGCUUACUGGACGACUACUGACGCUGAGGCUCGAAAGCGUGGGGAGCAAACAGG
rnacentral:rRNA from 1 species